rnacentral:rRNA from 15 species
ACUGGGGCGGUCUCCUCCCAAAGCGUAACGGAGGAGUUCGAAGGUACGCUAGUUACGGUCGGACAUCGUGACGAUAGUGCAAUGGCAUAAGCGUGCUUAACUGCGAGACUGACAAGUCGAGCAGAUGCGAAAGCAGGACAUAGUGAUCCGGUGGUUCUGUAUGGAAGGGCCAUCGCUCAACGGAUAAAAGGUACUCUGGGGAUAACAGGCUGAUACCGCCCAAGAGUUCAUAUCGACGGCGGUGUUUGGCACCUCGAUGUCGGCUCAUCUCAUCCUGGGGCUGUAGCCGGUCCCAAGGGUAUGGCUGUUCGCCAUUUAAAGAGGUACGUGAGCUGGGUUUAAAACGUCGUGAGACAGUUUGGUCCCUAUCUGCCGUGGGCGUUGGAAUCUUGACGGGGGCUGCUCCUAGUACGAGAGGACCGGAGUGGACACACCUCUGGUGUAUCGGUUGUCACGCCAGUGGCAUUGCCGAGUAGCUAAGUGUGGAAGAGAUAACCGCU